GCGCAGCAGGCGCGAAACUUUACAAUGUGCGAAAGCACGAUAAGGGAACUCUGAGUGCCUCCUAAGGAGGCUGUUCAGGUGUCUAAAAAGCACCUGAAGGGAAGGGCUGGGUAAGACCGGUGCCAGCCGCCGCGGUAACACCGGCAGCCCAAGUGGUAGCCACGUUUAUUGGGUCUAAAGCCGUCCGUAGCCGGCUGGGUAAGUUCCUUGGGAAAUUUGGCUGCUUAACAGUCAAGCUUUCA
rnacentral:rRNA from 1 species